rnacentral:rRNA from 1 species
AGCGCAGACGGCAGUGCAAGUCUGAUGUGAAAGCCCGGGGCUCAACCCCGGAACUGCAUUGGAAACUGUACAGCUUGAGUGUCGGAGAGGUAAGCGGAAUUCCUAGUGUAGCGGUGAAAUGCGUAGAUAUUAGGAGGAACACCGGUGGCGAAGGCGGCUUACUGGACGAUUACUGACGUUGAGGCUCGAAAGCGUGGGGAGCAAACA